rnacentral:rRNA from 1 species
AGCUCCAAUAGCGUAUAUUAAAGUUGUUGCGGUAAAAAGCUCGUAGUUGGAUUUCUACCGAAGAUAGCCGGUCGGGUCUUCGACCUUGUAUCUGGUUUUGUCUUUGGUAUCCUCAUGGGGAACGUUGCUGCGCUUCAUUGCGUGGUGCGGUAUCCAUGACUUUUACUUUGAGGAAAUUAGAGUGUUCACGGCAGGCAAACGCCCUGAAUAUAUUAGCAUGGAAUAAUAACAUAGGAUCUUCGUCCUAUUUUGUUGGUUUCUAGGGCUAAGAUAAUGAUUAAUAGGGAUAAUUGGGGGCAUCUGUAUCAACGCGUCAGAGGUGGAAUUCUUGGAUUGCGUUGCGACAAACUACUGCGAAAGCAUUUGCCAAGGAUGUUUUCA